GAGUAACACGUGGGCAACCUGCCUGUAAGACUGGGAUAACUCCGGGAAACCGGGGCUAAUACCGGAUAAUUCUUUCCCUCACAUGAGGGAAAGCUGAAAGAUGGCAUCUCGCUAUCACUUACAGAUGGGCCCGCGGCGCAUUAACUAGUUGGUGAGGUAACGGCUCACCAAGGCCACGAUGCGUAGCCAACCUGAAAGGGUGAUCGGCCACACUGGGACUGAAACACGGCCCAAACUCCUACGGGAGGCAGCAGUAGGGAAUCUUCCGCAAUGGACGAAAGUCUGACGGAACAACGCCCCGUGAGUGAUGAAGGUUUUCGGAUCGUAAAACUCUGUUGUCAGGGAAAAACAAGUACCGGAGUAACUGCCGGUACCUUGACGGUACCUGACCAGAAAGCCACGGCUAACUACGUGCCAGCAGCCGCGGUAAUACGUAGGUGGCAAGCGUUGUCCGGAAUUAUUGGGCGUAAAGCGCGCGCAGGCGGUUCCUUAAGUCUGAUGUGAAAGCCCCCGGCUCAACCGGGGAGGGUCAUUGGAAACUGGGGAACUUGAGUGCAGAAGAGAAGAGUGGAAUUCCACGUGUAGCGGUGAAAUGCGUAGAGAUGUGGAGGAACACCAGUGGCGAAGGCGACUCUUUGGUCUGUAACUGACGCUGAGGCGCGAAAGCGUG
rnacentral:rRNA from 2 species